AUGGCCUCAACCCCUGUGCAACGCCGUGAAAGAGAUACGAAGGUAUUGCAAGAAAAGCUAGCGAAAAAAGUGGCACAUGCGUCGACUGGAGGAAGCCAUCGUAACAAAAAGAUUGGAAGUAAAAACAUAAAAAUAAUAGUGGAAAGAUGAUUUUAGAUUGCAAGGCAAAGAAGAUAGUGUUGUUUUUAUUAUUAUUUGGAUCGGGAAAUUUGAAUCUUUGUUUGUCAUUUUAACAAACACUUGUUGUGCAAAUGUAAUAUGAUUUCCUCUUUAGCAUCAUUAUCUAAUUAAUUGGCUUUCAAAUUCUAAAA